rnacentral:rRNA from 1 species
UGAGGAACAUGACUUUCGGUGGGGGAGUAGCCGGCCCAACGGCCGGGUAAUACCGCGUACGACCUCUUGGGGACAUCCCCGGGUGGUGAAAGCAGCAAUGCGCCGAAAGGAGUGCCUCGCGGCCUAUCAGCUAGUUGGUGGGGUAAUGGCUCACCAAGGCGACGACGGGUAGCUGGUCUGAGAGGAUGGCCAGCCACAUUGGGACUGAGACACGGCCCAGACUCCUACGGGGAGGCAGCGUAAGGG